GCCACCAUAAACAUCACCAACCAAUGUUAAUAUAUGGUGUGGUCGGACACUGUGCCAGGCGAUGGCAUGCGGCUUGAUGAGGGGAAGUCAUGGAUGCUGGAGGUGCCCGCUAGUGGCACGACUAGUGGGCAGAGAAUUUGGGCACGCAUGCGCUGCUCAUUCGAUGGCAAGGGCAACGAAUCAUGCCGGACGGGUGACUGCGAAGGCUUGCUCGCCUGCGAGUCCCCCAACCAGCUGCCGAGGACACUCGUAGAGUUCACUAGUGGCCAGUUCAAUAGUACAAUUUUUUUUGACAUCUUCCUUCUCCAAGGUUUCAAUGUGCCCAUGGACAUCCUGCUGGUGCCGGCCCAGGGAGGGCUAGGUUGCAUCAAGGGAGCACGAUGCACAACCAACAUCACUUCGCAGUGCCAGAGCCAGUUUCAGCCCGGGGGUUGCAACAAUCCUUGCACAAUGUUCAACCAGAGCAAGUACUACUGCACUGGGAAGUCGAGCAGUUGCAAACCCACCACCUACUCACUGCUCUUCGUGCAGAUGUGCCCAGACGCAUAUAGCUACUCCAGGGAUGAUAGCUCAAGCACCACGUUCACUUGUCCAACAGGCACCAACUACCAGAUCGUCUUCUGUGCCUGAACGAUCUAACAUCUUAUACCCCCAGAUCCUCAUGUAGCUGCGUCCAUGGGCAUAACAGUCUCAUCACUAGGCUUGGUCAUUUUGGUUUUAGCUUCCGUACUCUCUUUCAUACUGACUGGAGCUUUAUCCUUUAGUCGUACAAAAAAGAGAGCACGCCGACGCCAGGAGAUGGAGGAGGAAGAUGAAGAUUUUGGAAACCUACAAAAAAAAACACCAACGAGGUUUACAUUUCAACAGUUGUAAUUAGCAACCGAGCAAUUCCGAGACAAGAUUGGGGAAGGAGGAUUUGGGUCUAUUUUCAAGGGUCUCAGUGAGGAAGCAAUUGCAGUAAAACAUUUGGAUCGAGCAGGUCAAGGGAAAAGCGGAGUUUUGGCAGAGGUUCAGACAAUCGGCAGCAUCCAUCAUAUCUAUCUGGUCAAGCUGAUUGGUUUCUGUGCGGAGAAAACCCAUAGGAUCUUGGUUUAUGAGUAUAUGCUAAUUGGAUCUUUGGUCAAGUAGAUAUAUUGUCGACAUGACAAUAGUGCUCCUCUGUAACAAUGGAGGGUGCAGGGCAAGAUUAGCACGAGCAUAGCUAAGGGCCUCUCUUACCUUCAUGAGGAGUGCAUGAAGAGGAUUUCUCAUUUUGAUGUCAAGCCACAAAAUAUCCUCUUAGUUGAAAACUUCAACAUUAAGCUUUCUGAUUUUGGACUAUGCAAGCUUAUUGAUAGAGGUAUGAGCCAAGUGGUUCGAAUGAGAGGCACACCUGGCUAUUUAGCUCCGGAAUGGUUGACGUCGCAGAUUACAGAAAAGGUCGAAAGAAUCUCAACACUUCCUGAUCUGAAGAGAGCCUACAUCUUAUUACCAUGUUGA
rnacentral:rRNA from 1 species